GUUUUACAGAGUAUAUUGGUGUGAGAAUAAAUAUCACUAAACAUGUUGCUGAUAUAUAAAUUAUAAAUAACUAAAAACUAUAAAAUUGGUCAUCAUAGAUGAUUAUCAUUCAGGAAAUCAUACCACGAGUCAAGCUUUAACAGAUGAGACCAACAGAUAAAGCAGUAUGCUUUUUAAAAGAAAAAAUAGGAUUGAAGUAAAUGCAAAAUCAAUGUACCUAAAAAAAACACAAAUAGGUUGAUACAAAGUAUUUCCCUAUGUACCAUCAAUUCUGUCAAAAAUCAGAAUUUAUACAAUUGUAAAAAAUAUGAAAUCAAUUAGGUUCAUUUUGCAAUUUGGUUCAGUAAAUAGACGGUCAAAGAACUAAAAUAACAUUUUGUCAUAUUUUCAAUAAUACUACACUUCAACCCAAUCUGAGGAAUCAAAUACAAUUUUGAUUUGAUUCUUGAAAAAACCCCACAUAUAUUUGGUAUGGAAGCCAACAAUAAGUAUGUCUACCCUAAUAUUGCCACACAUUUACACAUCAUAAAAAUGCAACGUUUUCUUAGCAAAACAGAAUCAAUAUACACUUAAAGCUCUUGGAGUUUGCAAGACUAAUUCCUGUAAGGUUAGCUCCAAAGAAAACAUUGAACUGCGCCUCUAAGUAUUAUCACAACUAUGUAAACUAGGUAACAAGAAAGUCAUCUGGUAUCUUAUAACAACUAUGAAAAUGUGGACUGUGUAACAAACAAGAGGCUCGCAAGAGCCUCAAUCGCUCACCUGUUAUUUUUUGCUCAAAAUCUUUCCACAAUGACAAUUUUUCUUUUCAAUAUAUAUUAAUGAGUGUCUUAAAAAUUCCAUUUAAAUGUUCUUUGCGUCUGUCAUAUUUUCUUCAAAAGGGGAAAAAAUGCAUUUUACACCCUGUUCCAUUUUAGUGAUACAAUGUAGUAGCUAUGUUUCUUGACGUACAAGGAAAUAAAAUACAAAAUUUAUACUAGAUAUUCUGAAACUCAUUCAGCCUAAUUAAGUUUUGCUGAAACUGAUUAAGCAGUUUUAAAGGAAGCGAACUAGAUGAACAAAUUCAGAAAAAAUGUCUUUAAAGGGCAGUUACUCCUUAAGGUGUUGAUUGACAAUUUUAGUCAUAUCAACUUUUUUGUAGAUCUUUUUGCUGUUUACAGUUUAUCUUUAUCCUUAAUAAUAUUCAAGAUAAUAACUAAAAACUUCCUUAAAAGUACCAAUUAGGGGUAGCAACCUAACAACUGGUUGCCUGAUUGGUCUUAAAAUUUUAGAGAAGAUAGAACUUGACCUUAUGAACAAUUCUAUUCACGUCAGAUUUGCUCUAAAUGCUUUGGUUUCAGAGAUAUGAUCAAAGAACUGCAUUUCAACCCUAUGUUCUAUUUUAGCCAUGGUACACAUGUUUUUUGACGAAACAGAAAAUAAAACAAAAAGAUUAUUCAAGAUACCAUAAGGAUCAUUCAGAGACAUAUAUACACAGGUGUAUAUAUGUCUCUGGAUCAUUCAGCUUAAGUUUGGUAGGAAUUGGUUCAGUAGUUUCAGAGAAGAUGCUUGAAAUAGUUUACACCAGACGGACGACAACAGACAACGAUGGACAUCAAGUGAUGGGCAAAAGUCAUCUGGUAUCCAUUGUCAUACCUUUCUUUAAUUGGUUUUUAUAAUAUUAACCUGUUCCAUUGUGAGAUUGUCAGUGCAGUAUGCACAUUUAAACUGUCAAGAAUGUAUAAUUCUCAUCAUAUAACUGAUAAAAAUUUCAGAUUUUUUAUAUCAAUAAAGGUGAUUCCUAGAAAACACAGCUUAAAGUUACAGAAAAAUGCAAACUGCCUUUGGUUUAUACAAAUGUACAUAUCAAAAUGAAAAUAUAUUUAUAACUGCAAUACACAUUUUCAUAGAAUACUACAAAUUUUCAUUGUCAUGCAUUGCCGUUUUUAUAUUCAAACGGAUGAUUUUUUUAUCUAUGAAACAAGAAAAUUCCAAAUGAUUUGUUUAUAUUGAGUAGCUGGAAGAAAACAUAGAAGAAAGUAAAGAGUUACAUGUAGUUAAAAUGCUGAAACAGUACAGUUCUCUUUUAAAAGAACAGAACAUCAGAAGAUUUAAAACUGUCUUUGAUUAAAAUCACAGUGUACCAUCAAUGGCAUCAUCAGAUUAAACAUACAAUCAUUCCAUAUAAAAUUGUCAUGUCUUGGACAAGUCCAUGUUCCAUUUUUCUAUGAGAUGAUGCAUCUUAAGGAAUGAUGAGAAAUACAAGAAACGAACUUAUGAUGUUAUGGGUUUUUAACACAUGUUUCCUUCCGCAAAAUUAUUUGUACAAAAAACAUUUAAAGGUCAGUUAUACAAAUCCUUGUUUUUUCACAACAGAAAGAGUUAUCAAUUCUUUUAGUGUUUAAUGCAUUUCAUUUCAUAAAAAAAAGAAUACUUUAUUAAUUUUCAGGGAUAAUGUAUAAUUUUUUUCGGGUCGGCGGGAAUAAAAAAAGCAUGAAAAGUCAAUGUUAUUUUUAUUCUGAAAAUCGGCAAAAAUAGGGUCGGCGGAUCCGUAAACCAACAAAUUAAAAAACCCUGGCCUUGAGAAAACUUUUCAUGAUUUUAAGAAAUUUCUAGUAUCAUCAUAAAAUAUUUUUUGCUAUCCUACUUGAUUGUGUAUGUGUACAAACAAUCUACUUUGUAAAUGUAUCGGGCAAUAAGUUUGUACAUAAAAUUUGUUGUAUGUUUUGCAUUGAUAGAAGGUACAUGGCAUUCAAUGUACAGUUCGAAAACAUAUAUCAUAAAUGGAAAAUAAAAUAAAUGGUGAUGUAAAAAGAUAACACUUUAUUCUGGCACACAGACAUUUACUCUGAAAUGCCAGUAACUCUUUGUCUUUGUAACUAAUAUCAGAAAUAUAUCAACCACAAAUCCAGAAAAAAUUAAAAUAAUGUAAUAUUGAAAGCAAUAAGCAUUCUUAAGUCAAAGCCAAUACAUCUAAGCACUCAGUUACUGUGUUGACAAUUAAGUGUAACAGUCUUUGACAUAGCCGUGGAACCCUAGCUCUUAGGUCCUUAUAAUACUUUUUGACAAUUUGCUUCCUUGCAAAACCAUAGCUCUUUGGUCCUUAUGAUAUUUUUUGACAAUUGGUCUGCAAAUUGUCAAAAAAAUAUCAUUAGGACCUAAGAGCUUCUACAUUUCUGCCUCUAUCUUUGACCUUGGUUCCCCUUUUUAUAAAUAAUAUGCUUUUAUUAAUGUCUUUAAUUGUUAAAUACAUUCAGAAAAUUCUUUCCUUGAAAGCUGACAAUAAACUUUUUAGGGUAAAAAUAGAUACAAUUUUUACAUAAAUAUAUAUGAUUGUAGUGACCACAAAAAAUACAAGAUGAUUUAUGCAGCUUGAAAGCACUAACAAAUAUGUGAUUUGCUUUAUAAC
rnacentral:lncRNA from 1 species